GCUUUUCCCUUCUCAGCACUUCCUUUCCGUAUCAACAGGAGGCCAGGGACUGGCUGGACCCCUAGGAGCCAGGUCCUACGGAUAGGUGAGCCGGCCCCCCAGGGCAAACACCUCCACUGGGCAGACCUGACUGCCCAGAGCUGGAUUCUUUACUUGUAAAAGGGGCCAUGAGUGACACAGGCUCGGCCUGCUGUGCCUUGAGGAAAGGAGAGGCUAAAAAUUCUGCCUUCUCUCCUAAAGCCAGCCGGGCUCUUUAUGGUGGGGGAAGGAAGGAUUUGUUUAUUUGCACUCUUCUGAAAUAAAAGUUCUCUAUCCUCCCUCCUGGCUGGAGUUGGGAGGGCCCCAUGGGUGGGCUCUGAGAUGUGGCACACGGUACCCAGGGCAGGGCUGGGAAGGGUGGGGUGCAGGGGCCUCCCUGGCUGCAGGGCCCACCCACCAGGUGCCUGGGCUUGCUGCACUGAGCAGGCAUGGGCUCUGGCCCCCCUCACUGUCCCUUCCAGGCCCAGCCUGUGUUCAGGGCCCAGGACAGGGUCUGGCCAGCAGGCCCCAGGCCUCCAAGAUGUUCUCAGCCUCUGGAGUGUGUGUGAUGAUGAGCACUCAUGGAGCUUCCUGUAUGCUGGGCCCUGGGCUUCUGAGAGGGCCACCGGGUGGCGACUGAGUCACGAGGUGGAGGGCCAGUCCCAGGGACUCCAGGUGACCUCGUGUCGGCACCACGCCCUUCUCCCAUGGGCAGUCCUGGGCGCCCCUUCCUGGCCUUGGGCCCAGUGGCCUGUGGCCUGACCCCGUCCACUCCUGCUUGGUUGUCCCAGCAGCAGCAGGAGCCCAUGCUGGAGAAGGUGUUAUGGGGCAGGUGGAGGGCCCGGCUGACUCAGAUGAUCCCCCAAGUUUCUUUUCAAUGAACACUUGUUUAGUGCAGUUUUUCCUCCUCAAAUCCCCCUCACACAGGCAGACACCCUCUUGGCCCAGGGUAAUCUGCUGAGCCUUUGCUCAAAUAUAGCAGCUUUGCUGCUUUCUAAACACAACUAAUCCAAUUUGGGAUUUGGGGAUUCGAGGUGGGCAGCACUGGGCCUCAGAUGAGCCCCCAUCACCCCAGACCCAUGCAGGAAGAGCCAGGCAGGGUGGGGCCCUGGGGCCACCUGGUGGGCUCAGGGCCAGGGCAUCGCGAUGUCCCCAUCCUUCACACUACGGGGCUUCCUGGCUGCAGAGUUGGGGACUCAGCUGGGAAUGCUGGCCAUAGAGGCAGAGAGCCCCCAUCCUGCUGGGCCAGCCCUGACCUGGCUUCUCCAGGGUGGCCCAGUGUCCCCUUCUGCCCUUCCCCUGGCUCCCACCGUCCACAUCCCUCUAUCUGCCCACCCUGGACAACAACCAGCACAGUGCAGUGUGGCCCUGCAGUGACACCACCUGCAGAGAGGUCAGGCCCAGCCUCCCCCGUCUCCUAAAAGGCCAGCAGGUCCCAGGAGCUGGGGGUGGGGCCUGGCUGUGGGGCCUCCAUGCCCCAGGGGCCAGGGCAGACCCUCCUUAGCCGGCAACCACUGCAGAUUCCUCCCCUGGCCAGCACUCGGGGACCUCCCUGCCCCUGCCCCGUCCCCCUACCUUGCCUGCUGAGACAUAGGGCUCCACGGGUCUCUCUCCUGGGGCCGGGCUGACUGUGGCCUGCGAGGGGCAGUCAUCGUGUUGGGUUUUCCUGCCAGAGGCAGAAACCACAAAAUUACCUGGAACAUACACGCCCCAAGUGACAGAUUCAAUUCAAUUCCACAAAUAUUGACCUCGCGUCUAAUCCACUCGUCCUCCAGUGCCAGCUCAUUCCUGAGAAGCCCAGCCUGGCAGCCGCAGAUCCCAUUUAAUCCCAGCCCCACAAUGUCACCAGCUCGCAGCUUGGGAGCUGGGCUCAUCCAGGCCCUGGCAGGUGGGGCCAGAGCUGGGCUCUGACCUCUGUACCCACACUUACCACCAUGUAAAGUGCUGGGAAGAGGGGUGGGGAGUCACGGCAAGUUGAGGGUCCAGGCUUGCCCCAGCUCGCCAGAUGCUCGCCCUGGCUGCCCUGACCUAGCAGCUAAUCUCUGCGGGGCACUGCGGCUACAUGGUGACUCCAGCACGGGGACAUUUAUCAGAAAUGGAACUGAUGGAUUAAAGUGGAACCAAGCG
rnacentral:lncRNA from 1 species